UAUUCAAUUCAGUUUUGAAAAUGCUAUAACUUUAAUUUUCAAUUUGUCUGAUACUUAGUCAUCUUGGCAGUUUGAAUAAUAAUUAUGGUGUAAAUGUUUUCAAACAAUGAUAGGUUCUACGGUUUAAACAUGAUAGAGCUAGCUGUGUUCUUGAUGCAACUGCAUGAUCAUCAUGCAAAGAUGGUGAUGGCUAAUUAAGAAACAACAUCAACAAGAAGAAACUCCUCUUGUACUUCAAGUCAUCAAAUUCUUUUCACAAAAUUUUGAACAAGGUCUCAGAUCUAAG